rnacentral:ribozyme from 1 species
AUAGUCGUGUUAUGAUAAAAUGGGAUGGGAUCCGAAGCCCCUGUGAGGGAUAAUACAGGCUCUUCCAUCCAACUCCUAUUACGACAAGUCCUCGUCGUGCAGAGUGGUAACAUGUGCCACCAUAUAUCCAAGCUUGGAUACACGGGCUUGACCCAACCCAUUGGGUGGGUAUCCCGGGGGGGUUUCUCGGGAAACUGGGUACC